rnacentral:rRNA from 1 species
GGGUUGUGAGGUUAAGCGACUAAGCGUACACGGUGGAUGCCCUGGCAGUCAGAGGCGAUGAAGGACGUGCUAAUCUGCGAUAAGCGUCGGUGAGGUGAUAUGAACCGUUAUAACCGGCGAUUUCCGAAUGGGGAAACCCAGUGUGUUUCGACACACUAUCAUUAACUGAAUCCAUAGGUUAAUGAGGCGAACCGGGGGAACUGAAACAUCUAAGUACCCCGAGGAAAAGAAAUCAACCGAGAUUCCCCCAGUAGCGGCGAGCGAACGGGGAGGAGCCCAGAGCCUGAAUCAGUGUGUGUGUUAGUGGAAGCGUCUGGAAAGGCGCGCGAUACAGGGUGACAGCCCCGUACACAAAAAUGCACAUGCUGUGAGCUCGAUGAGUAGGGCGGGACACGUGGUAUCCUGUCUGAAUAUGGGGGGACCAUCCUCCAAGGCUAAAUACUCCUGACUGACCGAUAGUGAACCAGUACCGUGAGGGAAAGGCGAAAAGAACCCCGGCGAGGGGAGUGAAAAAGAACCUGAAACCGUGUACGUACAAGCAGUGGGAGCCUCUUAAUGGGGUGACUGCGUACCUUUUGUAUAAUGGGUCAGCGACUUAUAUUCUGUAGCAAGGUUAACCGAAUAGGGGAGCCGAAGGGAAACCGAGUCUUAACUGGGCGUUAAGUUGCAGGGUAUAGACCCGAAACCCGGUGAUCUAGCCAUGGGCAGGUUGAAGGUUGGGUAACACUAACUGGAGGACCGAACCGACUAAUGUUGAAAAAUUAGCGGAUGACUUGUGGCUGGGGGUGAAAGGCCAAUCAAACCGGGAGAUAGCUGGUUCUCCCCGAAAGCUAUUUAGGUAGCGCCUCGUGAAUUCAUCUCCGGGGGUAGAGCACUGUUUCGGCAAGGGGGUCAUCCCGACUUACCAACCCGAUGCAAACUGCGAAUACCGGAGAAUGUUAUCACGGGAGACACACGGCGGGUGCUAACGUCCGUCGUGAAGAGGGAAACAACCCAGACCGCCAGCUAAGGUCCCAAAGUCAUGGUUAAGUGGGAAACGAUGUGGGAAGGCCCAGACAGCCAGGAUGUUGGCUUAGA